CAAGAGUUUGAGUAUAAUAAGAGGAGAAUAAAGUAGGACUUUUCCUAAAAGUCAAGGAAGCUAUCUCCAAAACUUGAUUGGCACAGGGAGCUUAGGCUUAAGCCAUGUUGCUUGUGAUGCAAGAUUCCUGAUUUCCAAAGAGCAUAAAAGUGGACAACCCACAUGGGAUCAAUGUCCUACAGACUUGACUAAUAUGCCAUAUCUGUGCAAGUCACUGCAUCCUGACCUGCUGACCUGACUUAUUCUGAAUGGAUAUAAGGGGGUUCAUGUCUACCUAAGACAGCCUCCCAAACACUGAACUACUACUGGCAAUAUAUGUAUCAGAUACCUCAUCAUCUGUGUGAACAGUUCUGGAGAAUAUACUGCCAAGAGCCUCAGAGAUCCAAACUCCAAAUGACACAAAUCACUGCUGGCUGCAAUGGCAACAGUAUGGGCAGCCUUUUGGACUUGCCAGACCAGAAAACUGAGGGAAGUGGGAAUGGUGAAGCAACACUAUGUGGACGUGAGUAUGGGAGAGGAGCAUGACUAAUGUGAAAAUACAUUUGGAAAAAAGAAAUAAAGAAAGAAAAAGGCACUAUUGUUUCACAGAGCCUUAGCUAUGUGGAACAUCUCUCACCAGAAAAGGCUGUAUCUCCAGAAGCCAAGUUAUUUUGAAACAGAACAGACAGCCAGCUAGACAAAGCCUUCAAAGAAGUCUUUCUCGGUCCUUUCAGGUGUUCAAUGUUCUCUCUCUCUCCUCCAAUUGUUAUCUAUUUACUUACAUCUAUAUGUGUUGCAUCC